AGGCAUGGGGAAAUCUCUGCAUUUCUGUACAACACUUUAAUAUCAUGAAUGAAUUACCACCAAACUUUCAUAUAGUGAUUCUCCAGCAUUCAGAAGACAGAUCUCUCCUGUAUGGUGCCAUACUUGAGAAAGUAAAACCAGCAAACCCAAAGGAGCAAAGGGAACAGAAGGAAAAGGGUGGUCAACAAAAAGAAAAGGGUGGUCAGCAAAAGGAAAAGGGUGGACA